UACAGUUUGGUUUAGUUUUUCUGUUUCCUUCUUGUAACCCUGUUGAUCGGCCACACCUGUGAUUCAUUAGUCCCACCAAUGUCCACUUCUGUCACUUCAUGAUCAGGUUCUGCUUGUUCUUUCCAAGUCAUACUGGAUAAUUCACUUCUAAUGUUCCAGCCUUUGAGCUCUGUACCAAUUAACUUGAAUUGUUAGUCAUUUUUUCCUAAUUUCCGUCUCUUAAAUUCCGCUUUAAACAUCUUUUCUUCUUUGCGUCAUGCCUGCAAUUGUUUCCUCAAAUUUCCGUCAUUAUCCUAGAGACUUAACUUCUGUGACAUAACUUUGUCGAAUAAGUGGACAACAAAUAGAACACAUCACAAGGACAUAAAGUGCACAUUAAAUCAAACACAACAGCAUAGAGGGUGGGAGAACAGAAUGAUGAUUCAAAAGAACAAGAGAAGAAAUCCACAGACUGUCAUGUUAGUAUGCUGCAGCCGGAACAGAGGGGUCAGGGAGGUGUAGCCAAUAGUUUUGACAGCCACUAUGUGACCGAGUGCAAAUAAACAGGAAGUGACCUUGAGCGUUUUACAAACUUCAGCCCACAGAACUUCUCUUACCGCAGGUUUCUUCAUAAGCUACACCUGUAUUCAUGAGCAUCUGGCUGAGUCUGACCUCCAGGAGGAAAAUUCCAUUUGCUGCUGUUGCCUGUGUCGUACAUUUGCUUUUGGGGCAUUUUGAUGGGAUAAACAAGCAGAUGCCCUCCUGUAAAUGUGUCAGAGGUGUAGUGGCAAGAGAGCACAGGGAUUGUUGUGGCAUAGGUCCCAGUUACUGUCACACUAACCAACUGUCUGAGCGCACACAGGUCAGGCCGCAGCUGACGGAAGCUUUAAGGCCACACGUACAGGAGACGACAGCUCAGAGGUUACAGGGAGACAUGUUGACUCGCUGAACAUUCAAACUAAAGUGCUGGCUUUUCAAAAACAUCCUCAGGUCAGUGUACUGCCCUCGGAGAGCAACAGCAGCGAGACAGUGGGCCAUGUCUGAAGGACAGCAGGACGAGCUGGAGGGGGGCAGAGUUGAAGAUGCUGAAAUUUUCAGUGGGAGAGAGCAGAUGGAACCCAGCUCUGUCCCCCCCUCCCUUGUGUGUGAGACCUUGAGUGAAUGGACACUUCUCUGGUUGAGGCUGCAGACAGCAGUGACAACAAUGUGGGCCCAGUGACACGACAUCCAGUCCCUCUCUAAUUACGGUUCUACGUAGAGAGUCGCAGCUCCAGAGGCCUGAGGUCUGUCCACCCAGCUGGGAACCAAGUGACACGUACAUAUUUUUGCUUCAACACAUUUAUCAUCAGCAGAGGGACGCAGCGGCACAAAACAAGGUGAGAACUUGUUGAUACUGCACCUGCCAACUGGGACAUUGCUGCCUGUGUGAUGUUUCCUGUGUCCCAGCAGAGGGAGGAAAGGACAGCUGGAAAGUGUACAAACAAAAUGUUGGCUAAACGAGGUGAAAUGUUGGCGUCUGUUAAUAAUUUCAAAAAAGGUGUAGGAGAGUGGAGAAGUAAAGGUAUACAUUGGAGAGAAGGCAGACAGAAUACGUCAGGAAGUGAUGGUAAGGUGAAGAUUAAAGGUGUGGAGGAGGUGGAGACCAACGGGGGUAAAGGAGAGGUCAACCAUCAACAGACAUACACUACAGAGGGGAUGAAUAGGCAGCAGGCAGGGUCGAGUGGGUGGAGACAAGUGUCAGGAGUUGAUGUGUGACAGACAAGGAAUUCUGCAAGAGUGCAAAAGUGAUCUUGAAAAAAUAGAAGUGAAACCUGCAGUGGUCUAAAACUCCUGGCUUGGGACCACUUCUGGCCCAUUAACCCCCAACAGCCAGGCUGCAAAUUGAUGUAGAUAAUUACAUCAAUCCAAUUUUGCCCAUGAGUUACUUUUUUUCACUAAUUUAAUUUCAAUUGUUUUUUUUGUGAGGUAGUACAGAAAUAAAAGGAAUUAGCUUAAAAAUUAAGAGCAAGAAAGAGGGUCUAGUCUUGAUGUGGGCUGAGCAGAAAGGCUAUUGAUUAAGGUUAUGAGGUUAUAUAAAGGGAGAUGAUUAGCCACAGCGCCCCUUGUGGGCAGCAGUGGAGAGGCAAGCAAUCAGAUGGAUGAGUGUGGUAUUUUCAUGCAAUAUUUAUUUUCUUCUUGACAUUUUGGAUGUCUCUCAAGGAUAAAAAGAUCAAUUCACAUAACAACACUUAGACUGCGUGCUCUGUUAACAAUAUGUUGAUGAGUAAUUUUCAGGCACUGUCAUCAGAAAGCACUGUUCUAAUUAUCCCACAAGCAGCUUCACAAAAUCAUCAGGACAAAAUUAGACUGAAUAAUCAGUAAAAACCUUUGUAAAAUGUCAGAGUGAAGGGAAUCCUUAUAAGUAUUUUAAUUGGACCAAAGCAUUGAAAGCAUAACAAAAUUGUUGCAUUUUGGGAACUUAAACAUACACAGCAACUUAUAUAUAACAUUCCUAAAAUUAUUAAAAAGAAAAAGUUGAAGCCAGGGUUUAGAGCUAUCCUAAACACUGAAUUCAGUGUUCUGUACAUCGGCUCAGUAUGAGCGGAAAAGUUACUUUACUGACCUCAAGGUCAGCUUCUUUGAUUUAAUUUGUCAAUUUUAAUAAAAAGUCAAAUCUUGUUGUAUAUUUCUGGAAUUUACCAAACAACCCAUGACUGACUUGAAAUAUAAUUGGUGAAAUGACAUUUGUUGAUGAAGUUUUUCACAAUUUUUUCUCAUCUCAAGCAGAUUUCACACUGACACUACUGAAAGGGAAAACUCUUGUUAAUGGUUCCUUGAUUAGCACCACCUAGUGGUCAUGGUUUUGACUGCAGUGCACUGGAGUUUGCAUGUUCUUCGUGUGUGUUUGUAGGUUUUCUCUCCAUACACUUUGUCUCCAUACAUGGUCAUGUGAUGUACUGGCUGUACCCCACCCUCACCAAUUGACAGCUUGGCUCCAGUGCUGAUCUCCAGCGACUCUGCAGAGGAAUAUGCCGUAGAUUAUUGAUGGAUCACUUGUGCAGUUUUCCCUCUGUUUAAAUGAAGCAGCAUCUUCUAAGCUCAUGAUAAACUAUAAAACAUUCAGAGUUGUGUCACAGUGUACUGGCCAGAAGCCUGGGUCACAGUGUGUGAGUCAGCACCAACAUGCACAGGUGGUGUUGUGAUCCAGUCAGUGCUGCCGACAGCCCCUGUUAUUCUUUGUCUCUUGCUGUGAACAUUCUGGAAACAUGGCCAAAACACAAUGGAACCUGUUUAACAAACCAACAAUCCAUUUUAACCUCCACGCUGAAUCCGAAUAAAGUAUCAAAUUGUAUUGGGGCAGAGAAAAAAAAAGGCAGCUGACAUACUCAAGUGUUAUUUGAUGCAUUUCAGUAGCAACAAAUCAACAGUGGAGUGUGUGCAGGCUGGGGCUCUUAGUAGCCAUCAAUAGCAAUUGCCGAGGAACUCAGUGUGAAAAUUAUUGAAUUAAACCGAGGGCCUCGAAAAGACCAAAUGCCUCGACCGUCCGCUUGUAUCGAUCGUUUGUCAACAAUAGAGAGUGUUGACAUUUACACAAGUUUGAUUCACUUCAUUGUUGCAGAUGUAUGAAUUUAUGGCUCCCUGUUGGGAGUCUGUUCAGCAGCACAGUGCAGGGGAGGAGGCACACAUUUGCCGUGUUGAUGUUUAAAGGGUAAUUGCGCUGAUGAAUAUUAAUCUCUUUUCAUACCUCGAUGUAUAAAAGCUGCUGUCAGCGACAUUAUCUGUGGGCUAACUUCUCUGUGUUGCUGUGUUUGGCUGUACAGCACAUUUCUUUUCUGAAUCACUUAUAUCCAAUCAGCAAGGCUGUGCAAAUGUAUCAGGUGAAAUAUGGUUCCUAAUAAUGGCCCUUCAUCAUGUUGACGGUUCUUGUAAGUUAAUGCUAACCUUUGGCUAAAUUUUAGUCUUUGUUGCAAACUAUGGUUAUUGGUUAAUUACCUAAGUUAACUUUAUCAUGUGCGUGUUUCAUCUUCAUUAUUGUUGAUAUGUGUACUUCUUCAUUUGUAGCUAUUUUGGUGAUGCUAGCUUAUCUGAAACCAUUAAAAUAAAAACAGUUUUAAUUACAAUUUGAAUCAUCUCUUGGCUAGUGUUUAGGUAACACUUGUCCAAAUUAGAGACUUUUUUUUUAUGUUUCUUUGCUACAUCUUCAUAACCUCAGUAUUUUUUGUGGCUAACUUGUAGCUAUCGGUCAACUAACUGUCUAACUAUUGUCUCUUUUUUCUGCACUACCUUUUCUUUAGAGUUUAUUUCUGGGCUACAUUUUAGUUUGUCUAAAUGUUUGCUAUUUGGACUUAA